rnacentral:rRNA from 1 species
UACGUAGGGAGCAAGCGUUGUCCGGAAUCAUUGGGCGUAAAGCGCGCGUAGGUGGCCUCAUAAGUCCGCUGUGAAAGUCAAAGGCUCAACCUUUGAAAGCCGGUGGAUACUGUGAGGCUAGAGUACGGAAGAGGCGAGUGGAAUUCCUGGUGUAGCGGUGAAAUGCGCAGAUAUCAGGAGGAACACCAAUUGCGAAGGCAGCUCGCUGGGACGUUACUGACGCUGAGACGCGAAAAGCGUGGGGGAGCAAACAGG